AGGAUUAUAGUUAACCAUAACAUUUGAUUUGCAUUCAAAAAGUAUCUUAUUAGAUUAAUCUUG
rnacentral:tRNA from 1 species